UACGUAGGGUGCGAGCGUUGUCCGGAAUUACUGGGCGUAAAGAGCUCGUAGGUGGUUUGUCGCGUUGUUCGUGAAAACCGGGGGCUUAACCCUCGGCGUGCGGGCGAUACGGGCAGACUUGAGUACUGCAGGGGAGACUGGAAUUCCUGGUGUAGCGGUGGAAUGCGCAGAUAUCUGGAGGAACACCGGUGGCGAAGGCGGCAUCCUGGACCAACACUGACACUGAGGAGCGAAAGCCAGGGGAGCAAACGGG
rnacentral:rRNA from 1 species